UACGUAGGGGGCCAGCGUUGUCCGGAUUCAUUGGGCGUAAAGCGCGUGUAGGCGGCCAGGUAGGUCCGAUGUGAAAUCUGGAGGCUCAACCUCCAGCGGUCAUUGGAAACCAUCUGGCUAGAGUCCGGAAGAGGAGAGUGGAAUUCCUGGUGUAGCGGUGAAAUGCGCAGAUAUCAGGAAGGAACACCAGUGGCGAAGGC
rnacentral:rRNA from 1 species